rnacentral:rRNA from 1 species
UGAACGCUGGCGGCGUGCCUAAUACAUGCACGUCGAGCGAACAGACGAGGAGCUUGCUCCUCUAACGUUAGCGGCGGACGGGUGAGUAACACGUGGAUAACCUACCUAUAAGACUGGGAUAACUUCGGGAAACCGGAGCUAAUACCGGAUAAUAUAUUGAAUCGCAUGGUUCAAUAGUGAAAGACGGUUUUGCUGUCACUUAUAGAUGGAUCCGCGCCGCAUUAGCUAGUUGGUAAGGUAACAGCUUACCAAGGCAACGAUGCGUAGCCGACCUGAGAGGGUGAUCGGCCACACUGGAACUGAGACACGGUCCAGACUCCUACGGGAGGCAGCAGUAGGGAAUCUUCCGCAAUGGGCGAAAGCCUGACGGAGCAACGCCGCGUGAGUGAUGAAGGUCUUCGGAUCGUAAAACUCUGUUAUUAGGGAAGAACAAAUGUGUAAGUAACUAUGCACGUCUUGACGGUACCUAAUCAGAAAGCCACGGCUAACUACGUG